rnacentral:rRNA from 1 species
CCUACGGGUGGCAGCAGUGAGGAAUAUUGGUCAAUGGGCGAGAGCCUGAACCAGCCAAGUCGCGUGAGGGCUUCCUUCCCUCUGUUUUUUCCCCCUCUUUUGUCGGGGAGCAAAAGCCGGACGUGUCCGGCUGUGAGAGUACCCGAAGAAAAAGCAUCGGCUAACUCCGUGCCAGCAGCCGCGGUAAUACGGAGGAUGCGAGCGUUAUCCGGAUUUAUUGGGUUUAAAGGGUGCGCAGGCGGAUUUUUAAGUCAGCGGUCAAAUCGUGGGGCUCAACCCCAUCCAGCCGUUGACACUGGGGAUCUAGAGUGUGCGAGCGGUAUGCGGAAUGCGUGGUGUAGAGGUGAAAUGCAUAGAUAGCACGCAGAACCCCGAUUGCGAAGGCAGCAUACCGGUGCACAACUGACGCUCAGGCACGAAAGCGUGGGUAUCGAACAGGAUUAGAUACCCCUGUAGUC